rnacentral:rRNA from 1 species
GACGAACGCUGGCGGCGCGCUUAACACAUGCAAGUCGAACGGAAAGGGCUGCUUUCCCUUGUGGAUUGCGGGUACUCGAGUGGCGAACGGGUGAGUAACACGUGAGUGAUCUGCCCCCAACUUGGGUAUAAGCCUGGGAAACUGGGUCUAAUUCCCGAUAGGACUGCAGGGUGGUGCCUGUGGUGGAAAACGAUUUUCUAGUGGUUGGGGAUGAGCUCGCGGCCUAUCAGCUUGUUGGUGGGGUAAUGGCCUACCAAGGCGGCGACGGGUAGCCGGCCUGAGAGGGUGGACGGCCACAUUGGGACUGAGAUACGGCCCAGACUCCUACGGGAGGCAGCAGUGGGGAAUAUUGCACAAUGGGCGGAAGCCUGAUGCAGCGACGCCGCGUGGGGGAUGACGGCCUUCGGGUUGUAAACUCCUUUCGACCGCGAGGAAGCCACCUGGUUGGAAGGGUGGUGACGGUAGUGGUAGAAGAAGCACCGGCUAACUACGUG